rnacentral:snRNA from 1 species
UUUCUUCAGCAGCACAUAUACUAAAAACUGGAAUGAUAUAGAGAAGAUUAGCAUGGCCCCUGCGCAAGGAUAGACACCAAAUUUGUGAAGCAUUCCAUAUUUUU